CAGUAGCCGCGGUAAUACGAAGGGUGCAAGCGUUAAUCGGAAUUACUGGGCGUAAAGCGUGCGUAGGCGGUGAGUUAAGUCUGCUGUGAAAUCCCCGGGCUCAACCUGGGAAUGGCAGUGGAUACUGGCUCGCUAGAGUGUGUCAGAGGAUGGUGGAAUUCCCGGUGUAGCGGUGAAAUGCGUAGAGAUCGGGAGGAACAUCAGUGGCGAAGGCGGCCAUCUGGGACAACACUGACGCUGAGGCACGAAAGCGUGGGGAGCAAACAGGAUUAGAUACCCGCGUAGUCCCUGUCUCUUAUAC
rnacentral:rRNA from 1 species